rnacentral:rRNA from 1 species
AAGUUGUUGCGGUUAAAAGCUCGUAGUUCGAGCUCAGUUCCGGACUGGCCGGGGAGGUCACCGCCCGGUGCUUCCCCGUCAGGCUCCGAACAGCCUUCGUGAGCGGAGGCCAAGCCGGUUCUGCCGGGGUGCUCUUUACCGAGUGUCCCGCGCGGCCGGCCAGUUCACCUUGAAUAAAUGAGAGUGCUCAAAGCAGGCUACUCUCGAAUACAAUGCCCGAAUGUUACCUGCAUGGAAUGAUGGAAGAUGAUCUCGGUUCCAUUUUAUUGGUGGUGGGAGCCCGAGGUAAUGAUAAACAGGGACUGUCGGGGGCAUCCGUACUACGACGCGAGAGGUGAAAUUCAGUGACCGUCGUAGGACGAACAACAGCGAAAGCAUUUGCCAAGAAUGUCUUCGUUGAUCAAGAACGAAAGUUAGAGGAUCGAAGGCGAUCAGAUACCGCCCUAGUUCUAACCCUAAACGAUGCUGACUAGCAAUUCGCCGUCGUUAUUCCCAUGACGUGGCGAGACGCCCCCGGGAAACCUCAAGUCUUUGAGUUCCGGGGGUAGUAUGGUUGCAAAACUGAAACUUAAAGGAAUUGACGGAAGGGCACCACCAGGAGUGGAGCCUGCGGCUUAAUUUGACUCAACACGGGAAACCUCACCAGGCCCGGACACCAGAAGGAUUGACAGAUUAAGAGCUCUUUCUCGAUUUGGUGGGUGGUGGUGCAUGGCCGUUCUUAGUUGGUGGAGUGAUUUGUCUGGUUAAUUCCGGUAACGAACGAGACUCUGGCCUACUAAAUAGUCGACGGGCGUUUUGGUGCAUGGGCCCCGUUCGACACAGUCUUCUUAGAGGGAUGAGCAGCGAGUAUAGCUGCAGGAGAUUGAGCAAUAACAGGUCUGUGAUGCCCUUAGAUGUCCUGGGCCGCACGCGCGCUACACUGAAUGGGUUAGCGGGUUGUCCUUCUCCGAGAGGAGCGGGAAAUCGCUUGAAAACCAUUCGUGAUAGGGAUUGGGGCUUGCAAUUGUUUCCCAUGAACGAGGAAUUCCCAGUAAGCGCAAGUCAUCAGCUUGCGUUGAUUAAGUCCCUGCCCUUUGUACACACCGCCCGUCGCUACUACCGAUUGAAUGAUUUAGUGAGGCCUUCGGACUGGCGGUCUUGGACUGGGGCGCCGGCGUUCUCCAGCAAUGGGGUGCCGGUGAUCCGCCUAGACGGGCCGGAAAGAUGUCCAAACUUGAUCAUUUAGAGGAAGUAAAAGUCGUAACAAGGUUUCCGUAGGUGAAC